rnacentral:lncRNA from 1 species
UCUUUCCUUUCCUAACUCUGCCCUCACUCUCCACCCUCCUUAGAGUUCUUGAAAAACCCUAAUUUUGCCAUCCCCGUUCUUUUUCUUAUUUCAGAUUCAGGGGCAUUUCAGAGAAGAGAAGUAGUUAGGGUUUUCAGACAACUGCAAUCCCUGCCAUUCUCAUACCCUUCCUCUGCUGCAAAUUUCCGCCACCUACUUCCGCCGACGCGCCACGCCUCCGCCGCCGCCGCACCCUGCCUCCGCCUCGCCCCGCUUCCGCCUCGCCCUGCUUCCGCCGCCGCACCACGCCUCCCACGCUCAAUAAGACAAGAGGUUUCUGCGGC